ACCGUUGUUUGCAUCUAAGGAGAAACACGUUGGAAAAAAACACUAUUUAUUCCUACACAAGGACUUUGAUCGGUCAAAAAAACUUUCCCAAUUUACGUUUAACGGACAAAACUUUUCUUCUGGCUAACACCCUGAUUCACUAAUAAACGACGAAUGGUUUCAGUCAGCAUUGCUGGGCAGCAGAUGAGGCUCAAUUUCAGUGACACUUGUUGAAUUUCAUCUCUCAAUUUACUACCAAAUAAAGACUGCUACAAAUAAUGGACAGAAUGAACAUUAUUUUCUCACUCUGAUAACUGCAGGUUGACCAACCAUUUGCUGUACGUUAGUGCUUUGUGAAACCUACCUAUUUUGUAGUCACUAACGAUAAUAAUUAAUUUAGCGUUGUAAAUUAUGCAUUCGUGUAAUAUUUGUAGUUUAGUGUAUAUAAUCUGUAAUAUAGUUUGUAUGUAAAGUAACAUUUUUAGAAUUUAUUGGUGGUU